GAUGAAGAACGUAGCGAAAUGCGAUAAGUAAAGUGAAUUGCAGAAUUCAGUGAAUCAUCGAGUCUUUGAACGCACAUUGCGCCCCCUGGUAUUCCGGGGGGCAUGCCUGUCCGAGCGUCAUUGCUGCCCUCAAGCACGGCUUGUGUGUUGGGCCGUCGUCCCCCUCCUAGGGGACGGGCCCGAAAGGCAGCGGCGGCACCGCGUCCGGUCCUCGAGCGUAUGGGGCUUCGUCACCCGCUCCGUAGGCCCGGCCGGCGCUUGCCGACGACCAUCAAUCUCUUUCUCCAGGUUGACCUCGGAUCAGGUAGGGAUACCCGCUGAACUUAAGCAUAUCAAUAAGCGGAGGA
rnacentral:misc_RNA from 1 species